GUGGCGAAUCUCGAAAUAACGAUAAAAAUGAAUUAGUUUUGUUAUGUAUUUAAAAUCAAGGGUUAAAUGCAUACAGGUUCCUGUAAAUAUAAUGAAUUACAAAUAUAUUCCUACAAAGUCCAACUUUUAUAUGUUGUUUCUAAAAAUAUUCUAAUAUUUUUAAAUACGUCCUUCUGGUUUGUUACUGUUAGAGAACUGUUUAUAUUUUAACAGUAAAUAAGUAAAAUGUCAAUUUUAUCAUCACAAAUAUGUCCCCCUAAAAGUCACAACAGUAUAAUAUAAGAAGGAUAAAAAUAUCAAGUUAUCUCAUAAACUAAUCAGGGUUAAGCAUUUAAUCUCUGUUUAAUUAAAUUUUUCUAACAGAUUCUGACGGCAUGGAUAUAUUUGAAAACAUUAGGACUUUCACAUGAACAAUAUAUGAAAGUUGAAUUUUAUAGGGAUAUAUUUGGAAUUCAUUAUGUUUGUAGGGGCUUGUAUGCAAUUAAUU
rnacentral:lncRNA from 1 species